GCCGCCGCGGCAGCCCAGCGGGCCCAGUCCCGAGGAGGCGGUGCUGCCGCCUCUCUGCCUGUGACUGGCCGGCGGCGCUGCCGCUCAGUCCCGGCAGGGCGGGGAGGAGGCGAGCGGUGUAAACAAGGAGAGAGGGAGGGUGGCUCGAUGUCAGCGGGUCACAUGGAGUCUCCUAUGGGCCCGGGGAAGGAGGCGGUGGCGGGCUGUCAGCUGGCAGGCGGCAGAUGCUGCUGAGGCGGUGGUACAAGGACAGGGGCCCGGCCAGCGCGCACCCAGCCCAUCCUCGGGGCUCUGCUCCCCGCCGCGUCGCCCUGACAAAUGAUGUGUUUUGUGAUCGCCGCGAUGAAAGGAUCUUAGUGUUCCCUGAUCUUCCUUUGCUUCUGCUGACUACAAUACCCUUUGUUUCACAAGAUUGGACCCAACAGGCUAGCUGAACUGAUCAUUGUGGUUGAGCUUUGCUGAAGCUAUCGAGUCUGACCUCUUGAGAAGCUCUCGAUCACAUUUGUUGAUAUUAACCUACUGACUAUGAGACCUU
rnacentral:lncRNA from 1 species